AAUUCUCAACUGCCCUCUUUUCUUAAAGAGGGUGAAGUUGGAUUUGGAGCGCUUUGCUGGCCUUUUGUUACCGGCUGCUCCUAAAAGCAUUCCAAGCCUUUUGUUAUCUCGGCGCAAAGUAUCUUUGACGUGAUAAUUAUCUACGUCGCAGAGAAAGCCUAGAGAGGGGGCUUGUUAAAGUAUUUCUUUGACCC
rnacentral:misc_RNA from 1 species